rnacentral:rRNA from 1 species
UGGGGAAUUUUGGACAAUGGGGGAAACCCUGAUCCAGCCAUCCAGCGUGUGCGUUGAAGGCCUUCGGGUUGUAAAGCACUUCUGGCAGGAAAGAAACGCCAUGGGUUAAUACCCCGUGAAACUGACGGUACCUGCAGAAUAUGCACCGACUAACUACUUGCCAGCAGCCGCGGUAAUACGUAGGGUGCAAGCGUUAAUCGGAAUUACUUGGCGUAAAGCGUGCGCAGGCGGUUCGGAAAGAAAGAUGUGAAAUCCCAGAGCUUAACUUUGGAACUGCAUUUUUAACUACCGGGCUAGAGUGUGUCAUAGGGAUGUGGAAUUCCGCGUGUAGCAGUGAAAUGCGUAGAUAUGCGGCGGAACACCGGUGGCGAAGGCAGCCUCCUGGGAUAACACUGACGCUCAUGCACGAAAGCGUGGGGAGCAAACAGG